ensembl:lncRNA novel transcript, antisense to ENOSF1
UCUUCUGCAUCAGUUUCUAUGACGACAUAGGCAGCCGAGUAGUCAGGGUCCGUGUGCUGCAGGAGAAGAGUUCCCCGCCGAAACAAUGCCAGUGUGAGAAACCCGAAAAGAACCAUGAGAAUGAUGUCACAUGAGGACAGACAAUGCCACAGGGGCCGUGCCACAAGAGCUCCCAUAGAAGGAACUGUUGCUAUACCCCAAAGAAAACAAAGGGCUCUGAAUGGAGAAAAGGAAUGUCCUCCUGAAAGAUCCAAAAUGUUUCAACAAGAGCAAUACUCCAAAAAGCCAGGCAGAAGAUGUGAAUGCAUUCAUAAAGAAGAAUUGUG